CUCUACUUUCGUCUCCCGUCUUCCCAGGUAGCUCAUGUGCGCGGCUGCAACUCUUCUGCCGCUGCUACGGCGGCGGCGGUGGUUCGCUGCUGCUGCUGCUAUCUGGGCUGCCUCCACCUCGUCCAGUGAACCAAGGAAUGCUGCCGCUGUCUCAGUCACUGCCGCUGCUGUUGCCUCUCGCUGCUGCCGCUGCUGCCACUGCCUCCACUUCUACCGCUUAUUAGGAAAGGCCUGCCUUGUGGGGCAAAGACCCGCCCAGUCAACCUUCUUAUAGGCGAUCUGGGGGCGGGUCUCCAGGACUAGGAGGCGGUGCAGCGCCACCCCACUUGCCUAUAAGGAGCUGUACACCGCCCGAGUGCUGAUUCCAGCCCUCCUAGCAAGGAGGUGGAUUCCGCUGCCAGUACAUCUCGGCAGCGCUUGUUGCUGCAGUUCAUUUGGGGUUUGCACCUUUAAGGAGUGGGGGAAGAGGAAGAAGAGGAAGAAGGACGAACAGCAGUUGCAGCAGAAGCCCAGUAGCCCGAGGAGGAGGGCAAGGAGGAGGAGGAGAGCCAAGACCCCCAGUGACCAUUUUGGUCUUAUGUUACUGGGCUCGGGAUGGAGUGAACAAGCUAGUGACUGGAAGAGGGGGGGGUGGGUCGGGGGGGUGGGGGGAACCCUGUGCAGAGGCUAGAGAGAAAAAAGGAAGCUCGACUGGUCCCUGCGAAAUUCGGGAUUAAAUUGGGAGAGACCGCUUGAGGGAAAUGGAUUCUGUACCCUCGCUGGCUAGCGUUUUGACUUUACUAUUCUCCGUCUUGUGGCAUAUAGGAUCUACAGCUACAAACUGGUCUUGGUGGCAGAAACUGCCCAUCUACUGCUGGCAAGAAUCUGGACAGGCUCAUUUGGCAAUCCCUUUAAGGUUGCCAGUGCUGGAACUGAAGCAACAAACAAGCAAUCAGACUCAAAAAUGUGUGAAUAAAUGCAUGAAAUUGCCAGGCUUCCUAUGUAGUUGCCUGAUUUUUCUCUUUUGUUUUCCCUAUAAAACUUCCUCUGUGAACUCUGGAGGUAACAAACCCUAAUUCUGCAGGUGUCUUCUGAUAUUGCAUCAUGAGAUAUCUUUGGAAAUGUCAGGAAAUUAUCUAUUUGGAUGUCAUUUUCUGAUUAAAAUGCCUCAAAGUUUAAAAAGC
rnacentral:lncRNA from 1 species